ACUCCUACGGGAGGCAGCAGUGGGGAAUAUUGCACAAUGGGGGAAACCCUGAUGCAGCCAUGCCGCGUGUGUGAAGAAGGCCUUGGGUUGUAAAGCACUUUCAGUAGGGAGGAAGGUAGUGUAGUUAACACCUGCACUAUUUGACGUUACCUACAGAAGAAGCACCGGCUAACUCCGUGCCAGCAGCCGCGGUAAUACGGAGGGUGCGAGCGUUAAUCGGAAUUACUGGGCGUAAAGCGCAUGCAGGCGGCCUGUUAAGUCAGAUGUGAAAGCCCGGGGUCUUAACCUCGGAAUUGCAUUUGAAACUGGCAGGCUAGAGUCUUGUAGAGGGGUUAGAAUUUCAGGUGUAGCGGUGAAAUGCGUAGAGAUCUGAAGGAAUACCAGUGGCGAAGGCGGCCCCUGGACAAAGACUGACGCUCAGAUGCGAAAGCGUGGGAGCAAACAGGAUUAGAUACCCCUGGUAGCGACUGA
rnacentral:rRNA from 1 species